rnacentral:rRNA from 1 species
AUUGAACGCUGGCGGCAGGCCUAACACAUGCAAGUCGAGCGGAUGAAGGGAGCUUGCUCCUGGAUUCAGCGGCGGACGGGUGAGUAAUGCCUAGGAAUCUGCCUGGUAGUGGGGGAUAACGUCCGGAAACGGGCGCUAAUACCGCAUACGUCCUGAGGGAGAAAGUGGGGGAUCUUCGGACCUCACGCUAUCAGAUGAGCCUAGGUCGGAUUAGCUAGUUGGUGGGGUAAAGGCCUACCAAGGCGACGAUCCGUAACUGGUCUGAGAGGAUGAUCUGUCACACUGGAACUGAGACACGGUCCAGACUCCUACGGGAGGCAGCAGUGGGGAAUAUUGGACAAUGGGCGAAAGCCUGAUCCAGCCAUGCCGCGUGUGUGAAGAAGGUCUUCGGAUUGUAAAGCACUUUAAGUUGGGAGGAAGGGCAGUAAGUUAAUACCUUGCUGUUUUGACGGUACCAACAGAAUAAGCACCGGCUAACUUCGUG